AAUAGCGUAUAUUAAAGUUGUUGCGGUUAAAAAGCUCGUAGUUGGAUUUCUGCUGAGAACGACCGGUCCGCCCUUUGGGUGUGUAUCUGGCUCUUUCUUGGCAUCUUCUUGGUGAACGUUGCUGCACUUGACUGUGUGGAGCGCUACCCAGGACUUUUACUUUGAGGAAAUUAGAGUGUUUCAAGCAGGCAUACGCCUUGAAUACAUUAGCAUGGAAUAAUAAGAUAGGACCUCGGUUCUAUUUUGUUGGUUUCUAGAGCUGAGGUAAUGAUUAAUAGGGAUAGUUGGGGGCAUUCGUAUUUAACUGUCAGAGGUGAAAUUCUUGGAUCUGCUAAAGACGGACAACUGCGAAAGCGUUUGCCCAGGAUGUUUUCAUUG
rnacentral:rRNA from 1 species